rnacentral:lncRNA from 1 species
AUGUGUCAGAGAAAGAAAAGAUCUACAGGAACCGAGAAAGCAACAAAUUCCCUCUUUUGGCAUCACUCUGUCUCCAGAUCUCUGAAGUUUGAGUCUGGGAAGAGGGAACAGGAAGAUGGUGGAUUCCACUUGCCACAGAGCUACAGAGAAAAGAAAGCUGACCUCAGAGCCUCAUAGUUCUGAAGAAGGACUCCAGGGCUCUAACAGCUCCCUCAUG